GGCCAGAGGCCGGGCGGGCGGCGCGGACCUGAGCGAGCUCGGGCGGCAGUGCGUGGAAGGGGCCCUCCAGACGCGGGCUUCACCGCCCGGCGGAGCCCAGCCCGCAGCUUCUCCCGGGACGCUCGGAGCCUGCUGCCCGGGGCGCCGGCUGAGCCAGGCAGCGCCCAGUGCUGGCCCAGGAGAGGGGCCCCCAGCUUGGCUCCGGCUCUUCCAGGCUGGCCACCUUGGGCGGGAGCAGCCAGGUGUGGAGCCCAACGCCUGCGAACAAGGCUCCUGACAUUAGGCCUCUGCAGAGAUGCAGCUCCAGACCCCCAGGAAGGCAGUGGUUUGCUCUGGGAAAACGUCCCAAGCCUGCUCAUUCUUUACGCAGAUGUCCUUCAGCCCUCAGAGGUAGCCCUUCUAGACCCUGUGCUCAAGACAGCUUGUGUGGGCCUCUCUGGUGGGGGUGCUGUGACCGCCCGAGGCCUGGCCGGCCCCCAACCGGCCUCAUCUCACUCAUGUUCCUCAGGCUGAGGGAUGGAGCCCAGGGAAUUGGUGGAUCUCUGAGCCUUCCAGUGACUCCUGGAUGUGGUGAGGCCCCUCUGCCUGCAGGCCAAGGUUGGGGUUCAGUGGGGGGCUCUGAGCACCUCAGAUCCCUUGCUCCCAUCUGUCUGUGGAAUAAUUAAUUUUCCUAGCUCAAGGCUUGUCCUUUGACUGGACUACAAGGAGCCUUAGGCAAGGAGCCUGCUCUGGGUGUCAGCACCCAGGUUCCAGCUUGAGAACCCACAGGAGCUCCCUUGUCCAACCCCGGAAGGGCCAGCUUCACCUGCAGGCUUCAGCAUUGCUGGCUCCGGUUCCUCAGCCCAUGUUUUCUUUGGCUUUGGGUCUCUGGGACACCAGAUUGUCCAAAACAAGAUGACUUCGUGAUACUCAUUUUCCCAAACAAAAGAGGCUGCAACACAAUCAGGUUCUUUGUGUGCAGUGCGGUCCCCAGCUGCUCCCUCUCCAGUUGCCCCCAUCCCUGCCCCACCCAGGUUCCCUUGGGGCAUAGAGCACUCCCCAUUCCCAGUGGCCAGGGGUCUUUGGUCUAGGAUUGGACCAGGCUGGGCAGAGAGGGCAGACCCAAAUCCCACCCCCAUAGACCAUCACUGGUCCACAGCCCUUCCCUCUCUCUUCCUUUGGGUGCCAGCAGAGCCCCUGUGAGAAGAAGCAGGAAAUGGGAAUAGUCUAGAGCAGCGGUCCCCAACCUUUUUGGCACCAGGGACCAGUUUCGUGGAAGGCAAUUUUUCUAUGGACUGGUGGCAGGUUGGUGGGGUUGGUUCAGGCGGUAAUGUGAGCGGUGGGGAACAACAGAUGCAGUUUCCCUCGCUCACUGCUCACCUCCUGCUGUGCGGCCUGGUUCCUAACAGGCCGUGGACCAGUACCGGUCCAUGGCCCGGGGGUUGGGGACCCCUGGUCUAGAGCACAGGGUCUAGAGUUAGACACCUGAGUACAAAUCCCAGCUGUACUACAAACUAGCUGUGUGCCCUGAACAAGGUACCAAAUGACUGUGGAACUCACUUGCCUUGUCAGUAAAAUGGAGACAAUAGAGGUACCUAUUGCCUAGGGUUUGUGAGAGGAGUCAUUGGGCCUAGCCUAUAGUAAUCCCUCAAAAAACGGCUAUCCUUUUGCGUGGGAUUGGCUGAGCAGUCACUAAGGGGUCUGCCAAGUGGUCCUGGGCCAAACUUAGGCCACACCUAGGAUGGAGACCCUGAACCCCUACCCCAUAGAUGCUUCCUUGUUCCCAGGCCAGCUCUGCCCUGCAGUCUCUCUGAGUAGGCUCCAGACCUAGGCUGGCUCUCUCCUGAGUCACUCUACUGCAUGGCCAUCAACGACUUGGCACCUCAACUGGACAGACGAGCCCAGGGGGCACUCACAGAUUGUUGGGUACAUGAAUCCCUGCUGGUGGAGGCCUCCGUCUUUCUCUAGGGAAAGAGAAGUCAUGGACAAGCAGCCUUGGCUCCUCAGGGCCAGGCGCAUGAGUGCUCAGAAAUGUGCUAAACGUGUGGUGAAGGAAGGAAAAGGCUCUGGAUUUCCUACACUGCUCAUGGGACACAAAAGAGAAUGGUUGCCAGGGGCUGGGGGGAGUGGACAGUUACUGUCUAAUGGUGCAGAGCUUCAAUGUGAGAAGAUAAAAAGUUCUGGAGAUGGUGAUGGUUGCACAAGAAUAUGAAUAUAGGGAUUUCCUUGGUGGCGCAGUGGUUGAGAAUCUGCUGCCAAUGCAGGGGACACGGAUUCGGGCCCUGGUCCAGGAAGAUCCCACAUGCUGCAGAGCAACUAAGCCCAUGUGCCACAACUACUGAGCCCAUGUGCCACAACUACUGAGCCUGUGCUCUAGAGCCCACGUGCCACAACUACUGAGCCUGUGUGCCACAACUACUGAAGCCCGCGCACCUAGAGCCUGUGCUCCACAACAAGAGAAGCCACCGCAAUGAGAAACCCGCGCACCGCAAUGAAGAGUAGCCCCC